GACGAACGCUGGCGGCGUGCUUAACACAUGCAAGUCGAACGGAAAGGCCCUGCUUUUGUGGGGUGCUCGAGUGGCGAACGGGUGAGUAACACGUGAGUAACCUGCCCUUGACUUUGGGGUAACUUCAGGAAACUGGGGCUAAUACCGGAUAGGAGCUCCUGCUGCAUGGUGGGGGUUGGAAAGUUUCGGCGGUUGGGGAUGGACUCGCGGCUUAUCAGCUUGUUGGUGGGGUAGUGGCUUACCAAGGCUUUGACGGGUAGCCGGCCUGAGAGGGUGACCGGCGACAUUGGGACUGAGGUACGGCCCAGACUCCUACGGGAGGCAACAGUGGGAAAUAUUGCAGAGUGGGCGGGAGCCUGAUGCAGCAACGCCGCGUGCGGGAUGACGGCCUUCGGGUUGUAAACCGCUUUCGCCUGUGACGAGGCGUGAGUGACGGUAAUGGGUAAAGAAGCACCGGCUAACUACGUG
rnacentral:rRNA from 1 species